GCGCCUGUAGCUCAACGGAUAGAGCACCAGCCUCCGGAGCUGGUGGUGCAGGUUCGAUUCCCGCCAGGCGCA
rnacentral:tRNA from 1 species